rnacentral:rRNA from 1 species
AAUGAUUGAUUUAAUAGCCGCAGUAUCUUGACUGUGCAAAGGUAGCAUAAUAAAUUGUCUUUUGAUUGGAGACUGGAAUGAAUGAUGGGAUGUGAUGAAUGCUGUCUUUAUAGUAAUUGAUUGAAAUUUACUUUUUUAUGAGAAGGUUGAGAUUUAGUUGGUAGACGAGAAGACCCUAUCAAGCUUUAUUUUGGGAUUGGCUUUGCUUUAUUCAUUGGUGGGUGGGCUGUGAUUAGAAUUUUGUUGGGGCAAUGUUUGAAUAUUAUGGAAUUUUUUAUUUUGUGUUAGGAUUUGAUCCAUCUUUGGUGAUUGAAGGAGUAAGUUACUGUAGGGAUAACAGCGUAAUUAAUUUGGAGAGUUCAUAUUGGUAAAUUGGAUUGCGACCUCGAUGUUGGUUUAGUGAUUCUUUAAGGUGUAGCAGUUUUAUAAGAG